rnacentral:rRNA from 1 species
CCUACGGGCGGCAGCAGUGAGGAAUAUUGGUCAAUGGGCGGAAGCCUGAACCAGCCAAGCAGCGUGCGGGAAGAAGGCUCUAUGGGUCGUAAACCGCUUUUGCACGGGGAUAACAGCCUCUACUUGUGGAGGUCUGCAGGUACCGUACGAAUAAGGGCCGGCUAAUUCCGUGCCAGCAGCCGCGGUAAUACGGAAGGCACGAGCGUUAUCCGGAUUCAUUGGGCUUAAAGGGAGCGUAGGCGGGCGUUUAAGUCAGUGGUAAAAUCGCGCGACUCAACCGCGCCACGCAGUUGAAACUGGAAGCCUUGAGUUCACAACAGGCAGGCGGAAUUCGUGGUGUAGCGGUGAAAUGCAUAGAUAUCACGAGGAACCCCGAUUGCGAAGGCAGCCUGCCGGGCUGCGACUGACGCUGAGGCUCGAAGGUGCGGGUAUCAAACAGGAUUAGAUACCCGUGUAGUC